rnacentral:rRNA from 1 species
UACGAAGGGGGCUAGCGUUGCUCGGAAUCACUGGGCGUAAAGGGUGCGUAGGCGGGUCUUUUAAGUCAGGGGUGAAAUCCUGGAGCUCAACUCCAGAACUGCCUUUGAUACUGAGGAUCUUGAGUAUGGGAGAGGUGAGUGGAACUGCGAGUGUAGAGGUGAAAUUCGUAGAUAUUCGGAAGAACACCAGUGGCGAAGGCGACUUACUGGACACAUAUUGACGCUGAGGUGCGAAAGCGUGGGGAGCAAACAGG